AUACUGCAAGUCGAGCGGUAUCGAUGGGAGCUUGCUCCCUGAUAUCAGCGGCGGACGGGUGAGUAACACGUGGGUAACCUGCCUGUAAGACUGGGAUAACUCCGGGAAACCGGGGCUAAUACCGGAUAAUUUAGUUCCUCGCAUGAGGAACUGUUGAAAGGUGGCUUCGGCUACCACUUACAGAUGGACCCGCGGCGCAUUAGCUAGUUGGUGAGGUAACGGCUCACCAAGGCAACGAUGCAUAGCCAACCUGAGAGGGUGAUCGGCCACACUGGGACUGAUACACGGCCCACACUCCUACGGGAGGCAGCAGUAGGGAAUCUUCCGCAAUGGACGAAAGUCUGACGGAGCAACGCCGCGUGAGUGAAGAAGGUUUUCGGAUCGUAAAACUCUGUUGUUAGGGAAUAACAAGUGCCGUUCGAAUAGGGCGGCACCUUGACGGUACCUAACCAGAAAGCCACGGCUAACUACGUGCCAGCAGCCGCGGUAAUACCUAGGUGGCAAGCGUUGUCCGGAAUUAUUGGGCGUAAAGCGCGCACAGGUGGUUUCUUAAGUCUGAUGUGAAAGCCCACGGCUCAACCGUGGAGGGUCAUUGGAAACUGGGGAACUUGAGUGCAAAAGAUGAAAGUGGAAUUCCAAGUGUAGCGGUGAAAUGCAUAGAUAUUUGGAGGAACACCAGUGGCGAAGGCGACUUUCUGGUCUGUAACUGACACUGAGGCGCGAAAGCAUGGGGAGCAAACAGGAUUAAAUACCCUGGUAGUCCACGCCGUAAACGAUGAU
rnacentral:rRNA from 1 species